rnacentral:rRNA from 1 species
UUCGUAGGCGGCCUUGUAAGUGAGAUGUGAAAUCCCACGGCUCAACCGUGGAAGUGCAUUUCAUACUGCAAGGCUUGAGGGAGACAGAGGUAAGCGGAACUGAUGGUGGAGCGGUGAAAUGCGUUGAUAUCAUCAGGAACACCGGUGGCGAAAGCGGCUUACUGGGUCUCUUCUGACGCUGAGGAACAAAGCCAGGGGAGCGAACG